UACGUAGGGGGCUAGCGUUGUUCGGAAUUACUGGGCGUAAAGCGCGCGUAGGCGGUGAUCUUUGUCAGAGGUGAAAAUCCCGAGGCUCAACUUCGGAAUUGCCUUUGAAACGGGAUCGCUUGAGUCCGAGAGAGGAUGGCGGAAUUCCUAGUGUAGAGGUGAAAUUCGUAGAUAUUAUGAAGAACACCGGUGGCGAAGGCGGCCAUCUGGCUCGGUACUGACGCUCAGGCGCGAAAGCGUGGGGAGCAA
rnacentral:rRNA from 1 species